UUUAUAACUUCAAGAAAAUACUACUAAAUUUGGAACAAAAGACAUUUUACAGCUAAAGAAUCAGCUGAUACUGUUGCAACUGAAAAGAGCCCGUUUAAACAAUGUAUUGUCUAGUUUAUGAAAUGGAGCACACCAGCAUUCUUUACCCAAGCAGAAGAGAUAUGGAAGUGGAAAAAUUAAUGUCAUUAUUUAAAUAUCAAGAAGCAAAUGGGACUGAAGCCACAGGGAAGGUCCCAGAGGACUGGUGAGUAGCCAAUGUUCUUUUAUUCAGGAAGGGAACCAAGGAUAAUCCUGGAAACUAUAGACUGGUGAGUCCACGUCACCGGUUGGGUUCUUUUGAAGACCCUGACCUGGAGUUACACGCAGACUACGGUUCUCUGCGGGAAUGGGACCGGCUCUCGGGGUUUCACAACUGGCCAUUGUUCGAUGUGCCAAGGGCUUGGCCUAAGAGCUUCGCUUGCCUUCAGGGGUUCAAGAUCUCAUGGCUCUGGAGACGUGUGGACUGACAGUUGGUGACUCUGCAGGAAUCCAGUGUGUCGUGGGAGACGAAAGAUCGAAAGCAGCGAGCAGGCUGCUGGCUGUGCGCCCAGGGACCCGAGUUCUUUGGGCACAGAGCUAAGAAAAAUGACGGAACGGACUUUUAACAUUGUAAACCAGCGACAUGUUUGUCAUGUCUCCCCUCUCACUGUGAAACAGAGACAUCUCUUUCUCUCUUAUUUAGGAGAGAGAGAGCCUGUGGUAUGUUGAAUACCGGGUGAACAAGUAGUCUUUGGGGUACUGCAAGUCUGUGUCUUUAUUGAUGCUUUGCUGCAUGCUUGAGUGCUCGGUGGGGGUGCCGAUGCUUUUUACUCGCUGGUGGGGGAGUGGGGGAAUCAUUGCUUUGCUGCUGCUGCUGAUGUAUGGGAGGGGGAGCUGGGGUGGUCUUGGGGUUCAAACAUUUAACUGUCAUUCAUUCUAUGGGAGCACUCCUCUGCUUUUGUGGAUGGUUGCUAAGAAGUUUUUCAGGAUAUAUAUUGUAUACAUUUCUCUGACAUUAAAUGUACCUUUGAAACCUUUGAUAUUUUCUGUCUAAGGAGUCAAGGGCCAGUGGACUUAGUUUGAGAAUAUGGAGUAGGAUGUUAGGACUGAGAAGAGAAAUUUCUACUCUCUGAGGAUGAUAAACCUUUGAAAUUCUCUCACGUUGUCACGUGGAGGCUCAAUCAAUAUGUCCACUCAAAACAGAAGCUGGCAGAUUUCUAGGUAUUAAGGGAAUCAAAGCAUAUGGAGACAAUGCUGGAAAACAGUGCUGAGCUGAAAGGUCAGCCAUGACCUUGAUGAAUGUUGGGGCAGCCUCCAAGGGCCCUUUGCCUUUCUCCUGCUUCUAUUUUUUAAGUCCUUAUGUUCAUUUUAGUUAAAGCACUCAAGACAGAUACACAAUGAUCUGGAACUGGAGAACCAGAAAGGAGUGCAUUACAGGGCUGAACUAAAUGCAGGAAAGCAAAGCAAUGGACCAAGUAUCAGAAAGUAUUGCUACCAAAUGUACCAAUAUUCUCUUUCAAAAAUUAUUCUCCACUAUAGAAUAGUAAAUAUUCAAGUGAAACCAAGAAAUAGCAUCUAUUCCCCUCACGGGCAACUCUGUGAAUUCUGUUCUUCAUACUAAAUAAUUCUGUGAAGUGGAAAAAUUUCCUCUAAGUCUUGUAGCUCCAGGCCAUUUUCUCAAUGGGUUCACCAAACAUCCCAAAAUCACCCAGUAUUAGGAAAUUCACUAAACUACAUUGCUGAUGUUAUCACUGACUCACCCCCUAUUGAAUAUGUAAUAAAACGGAAAGUUUGGGAAAUGCUCAGUAGGUCAGGCAGCACCUAAGGAGAGAGAUACACGAGGUUAAUAUUAAUAUUGUUUCAGAUUUCCAGCAUCCAUAGUAUUUUGCUUUUGAAUAUUGAUUGUGUUAUUUUGCUAAUUUCUAUUUAUAUCAUAUUACGUCCUAUUCAAAGCUGAAUAAAUAAUUCAGAGAUUGAAUAUCCAUCUGGGAAUAGUUUCAAAGCAUGCCGAUAGUCCUGAUGAAGGGUCUUAGCCAGAAACAUCGGCUUUUUAUUGCUCUGCAUAGAUACUGCCUGACCUGCUAAGUUCCUCCAGCUUUUUGUGUGUGUUACUUCUGGUUUCUAUAUCUGCAAAAUCUCUUGUGGUUUAGAUCAUCCUGAAAUGAUGUAUAAUGGUUUAUGUCAGUAUAGUGUUAAAUUUCAUUCUUGAGCAGCCAAUAUACUUUCUGCAAUAAGUAAGUUACUUUAUCCUUAAUAUGCUGGUUAUCACCACCUGCAAAAUUUAUAUGAUACAUGGAAGCCAUUAGAACAUAGACUCUAGAACAAUACAGUACAGGGGAGGCUCUUCAGCCCACAAUGUUGUGCUGAACUAAAUAAGCUCCUAAUACCUAAUUAAUCUAUUAUGCCUGCACAUGGCCCAUAUCCCUCCAUUAUCUGAACAUUCAUGAGCUUCUUAAGUGCCUCCACCAUUACUCUUAGCAUCACAUACCAGGCGCCCACCACUCUCUGUGUAAAGACACCUACCCCACAAGUCUCCUUUGAACACCCCCCUCUCAACUUAAGUUAGACAUUUGUACCCUGCAGGAAAGGCUGUAUGCUCUAUCUAACCUUUUAAAAAUUUUAUAAACUUCUUGCAGGUUUCCUCUGCCUUCGUCACUCCAGAGCAAUCAAUUCAGAUUUAUCGAAUUGAAUUGACAUUAUUUCUUACAUCCUUCACAUACACGAGUAAAGAUAUUUACGUUACAUCUCCAUCUAAAUGUGCAAUCGUGGUAAUUUAUAGUAAAUAGAACAGUCAACGUAACAUAGAAAUACACUCAAAUCAGCAUGAGUUAAUCAGUUUGAUGGCCUGGUGGAAGAAGCUGUCCCAGAGCAGGUUGGUCCUGGCUUUUAUGCUGCGGUACUGUUCCCCAGAUGGUAGCAGCUGGAAUAGAUUGUGGUUGGGGUGACACGAGUCCCCAAUGAUCCUUCGGGCCCUUUUCUCAUACCUAUCCUUGUAAGUGUCCUGAAUCAUGGGAAGUUCACAACUGCAGAUGUACUGGGCUGUCCACACCACUCUCUGCAGGAUCCUGCAAUUAAGGGAGAUACAGUUCCCAUACCAGGCAGUAAUGCAGCCAGUCAGGAUGCUCUCAAUUGUGCCCCUGUAGAAACUUCUGAGGAUUUUUGGGCCCAUACCAAACUUUCUCAACCGUCUGAGGUGAAAGAGGCACUGUUGUGCCUUUUUCACCACACAGCUGGUAUGUACAGACCAGGUGAGAUUCUUGGUGAUGUGUAUGCUGAGGAACUUAAAGCUGUUCACCCUCUCAACCCCAGAUCCAUUGAUAUCAAUAGGGGUUAGCCCAUCUCCAUUCCUUCUGUAAUCCAUAACCAGCUCUUUUGUUUUCUGACAUUGAGGGAGAGGUUGUUUUCUUGACACCACUGUGUCAGAGAGAUGACUUCUUCCCUGUAGGCCACCUCAUUAUUGUUUAAGAUUAGGCAAUCAAUAUAGUGUUGUUGGCAAAUAUAGUUAGCAGAUUAGAGCUGUGGGGGGCAACACAAGUCGUGGGUAUAUAGAGAGUAAAGGAGGGGACUCAGUACACAGCCCUGAGGAGCUCCUGUAUUGAGAGUCAGAGGGGUGAGGUGAGGGAGCCCACUCUUUUCACCUGCUGGCAAUCUGACAGGAAGGGCAGGGUCCACCUGCACAAGGCAGGGUCAAGGCUGACAUCUCUGAGCUUCCUGUUGAGCCUGGAUGGAAUUAUGAUGUUGAAUGCUGAACUGUAGGCCAAGAACAGCAUUCUCACAUAAGCAUCCAUCUUAGAGCAGUGGCUAUUACAUCGUCUGUUGAUCAGUUGUGUCAGUAGGCAAAUUGUAAGGAGUCCAGUUUGGGUGGUAGCGUGCUGUAGAUAUACUCCUUGACCAGCCUCUCAAAGCCUUUGCUUAUUAUUGAGGUGAGUGCGACAGGACACCAGUUGUUCAGGCAUGUUGGUCUUUUUUGGUACAGGGACAAUGGUAGAUAAUUUGAAGCAGGAGGGCACUUUACACUGGGAGAGGGAGAGAGUAAAAAUGCCUGUAAACACAGCUGCCGGUUGUGCUGCACAUAUCCUGAGUACUCACCCUGAGAUGCCUCCAGUCCCACAACCUUGUGACUGCCCACCCGUUGGAAACAUCUGUAUAACCUCAACCUCAGGGAUGACUAGAUUGCGGGUUGUAGCGGUGGCUUUCCUCGGAGGCUCAGAGUUAGCGGUAUCGAAACGAGCGUAAAAGUGAUUGAGCUCAUCUGGGAGAGAGGCCAUGAUGUUGGCGGCACCACUAUGCUUGGCUUUGAGACUGCAAUGGUAUGCAACCCUCGCCACCAGCCAUGUGUGCUAUUCAUUGUGAAUCUUGUCCCUGUAUUGUUGUUUUGCAGCCUUGAUUGCUUUGCGCAGAUCGUAGCUGUUUUUCUUUGGCUUCUGCUGAUUGCCGGUGAUGUAAGCUCUAUGUCACGUGGUAAGUGCUGCUUGCACUAAACUAUUGUUCCAGGAUUUCUGGUUUGGGAAGACCCUGACAGAGGUGUAGAGGACAACAUCAUUGAUGCACUUCUGGAUGAAGCACAUGACUCCAUCCGUGAACUUGGAGACAUCCUCGUUAUGGAAGACAUUCCAGUUGAUGUCAUUGAAGCAGUCCUACUGCAUGGAAACUGAUUGGUCGGACCAACAAGGGACUGUUUUAGCUAUGGCCGCCUCUUGUUCUGAUCCAAACUCUCUUCACAGAACUUGCUCUCGAAUUUAGGCAUUCUCUUGGUAAACCUCUCUGCGCUCUUCCCAAAGCCCCCACAUCUUUCCUAUAAUGGGGUUAUCAGAAUUGAAUGCAAUACUCUAGAUGUUGCCUAGCCAGAGUUCUACAAAGCUGUUACAUAACUUGCUAGCUCUUCAACUCAUUGCUUUGACUAAUUAAUGCAAGCAUGCUCUAUGCCUUCUUUACCACCCUAUCAGCUUGUGCGAGUUGUUACGUAUCCCUUAACUGGAUCACAUACCAGCAAAGAUAGAGAGGUCCGUUGAAGUCUGAUGGUACUAUUUUUAAAAGUCUUUAUUUUAUAAAGGGACACAAAAGUAAGGUUAAUGCAAACAUGCAGAUAAUAUACGUCGUCAAUGCUCCAUCUAAAGCGUGGGUAUAGUAAUAAUCAUCAAUAAGAAAUAGUUCUAUCGUUUGUCUAGGGGAUAAUACUGAGUCCGAUGGAAAUAUAAAAGUCACUCAGAAGUCUGCAGGCUUCAGCCUUUUGGGGAAUUGCUGGGUUUCACUUGUUAGAAAGAGAGACUUGUAAAAAAAGAAACUUGCCCAGUCGUUUAUGAAGCAAAUCCAUUGAAUCGGGAACGUUGGUUCCCCGUUGUUAGUUCGAAGUCCUUUUCGGUGUUAUCAGCCACCCGGUCCCUAGGCAAAGGAGAACGGGACGCACGUGGCUUUAAAUGGCUUCCCGCUAGCACGGGAGCACUGAGCGAUGGUGUGUCUUUCUGGUGCGUCGCUGGGAUACCGCCUCCUGCAGUCCCCUUUUAUCUUGACUUGCAGAGUUGUAGAUGUCCAUCAAAGUAGGGUGAUGCAAUCCCCACCCCCACAUUGCCCGAGGGGGUCCGUGUCCCUGGUAGAUGGUAGCAGGGAGUUGCAAUUCACACAGGUGACUCUAAGAACAAUGGUCAAAACCAUUGCAUUGUCUCUCAUUUCCUGGGUCUGAGACCCGAAUUAAUAGUGAUCUUGCAAUUCUCCGGAAGGAGGGGGCUGCUCCCGCCCCUUCCACCCCUCAGAGCUGUGGUACAUUCAUAACAGUGUGACCACUUUCGGGGAACUCUGAACUUGGACCCCAAGAUCUCUAACUAACUGCAAAGUUAUGUUUUCUUUCCAAUGAAGUGGUGGAGAGACACAAAAACCUCAGAAGUCAAUUACUCUGGGAAGCUUGUAAGCUUUGCAAGCAUUAGUGUUCAUGCAGCAGGUUGAGGCGAAAUUAAUUGUUGACCAUUCGGGUGGAAAUCCAACAUCAGGAACAUUGUGCUCAUGCCAUCUGCUUGCUUCUGGCAAGAGAGGAUGAAACUUUGCUAUUUCCCUUUGAGCAGAGUGUCUCAGGGUUUUCCCCGAUGCAAAGUGGACAGCCAACUUCAAAUUGUUGAUAACUUUCCAGAUCUACCCUGAAGGGAGCAUGAUAUAGUAAAGCUCAUUAGAUUACUAGAGGUUGUGCAGCAUAUUAUUUCAGCAUGGACUAGAUGGGCCAGAUGGCCUGUUUUUGUGCUGUAAUGUUCUAAGACUCUAUGCUACUUUCUUCAGAUUUCUACUGUUUACAGGUAAGCCUGCUGUUGUUUGACAGAAUUCACUGGUAAACUUUGUAUUGCCAAACCCAAACUUGACAGUUCAGAUUUAGUCCUUAAGCAGUGAUCUCAAUUUCAUUGUCACACCACCAGAGUCCAAGAGCAGGUAAGAAUGGGUUAAUGGCAGGGGAGGAUGGAAAACGUGUGUGAGGUAGGGGAGAGUGGAAGGAAAGGGCAGUAAUUCAAAGCAAGGGAAUAGGCCAGCAAGGUCAGGCUCAUGUGAUCCAUUAUCCUUGGUUGCCCUGCUUGGAAGCAGGAGGGUUUUACAAAAUCCUUGAAGCAGGUAAUACAAAAUCCUGCAGCAUCUACCACACCACUUACAGGACUAUGAACAACCAGAGAAAACAUUAAAUUCUUAUAAGAACUUUGCGUUGAUGAGAACAAUAUCCAAUAGAAAAAAAAGUAUGAGGCCUUGAUAAUCCCAUCAAAAAGUAUUUGUGGAAAUCUUUUUGCUUAAUGAAUGUUUGGUUGUGAGUGCACAAGAGAGGGCAGUGCUGGGGUGCAAUCAUUUAAGCAUGCUGAGUGACGUUAUUGAUUUGCACAUCUACUUAUUAAGCAGAUAUCAAUUGUAUGCAUACAAAUUAAUUUGUAAUGAUGUUGUCUGGCAUAAUUCAAGGCAUACUGUGUGCACAGGCAGUGGGUAUCAUGUUGCAUUUAGGUGCUAUUCACAGUAUGUUUAAUAUGAAUUUAAUGAUAAUAAAGUUAACUAUUGAUAUUUUCUCCACUCAUAAGUUUGUUAUAAAUGUUGUAUUAAAAUAUUAUUUCUUA